rnacentral:lncRNA from 1 species
CAGAAAUGGUCGCCAGGCGGCUCUAAACACACGGAAAACGCAGGAGAAGCGGGUGAGCCCCUGACAGAGGAGUAAAUCUGCAGAUCAACACAAAUCCUCCAGUUUCCACCUCCUCCAACAGCAGUAGCUGUCAGCUUUCACCAGCCGCCCGGCGCGUUCUGCGCUCCCGACCUUCGGAUCAUAGCCUAAUCAUCCGUGCGAUUGUUGGAGUUCACGGUAUUGUUAAACUGCUGCAUUGAGCUUCUGGAUUUCUGCUGCGCUUCUUCAUUCUGUGGAUCUGUAGAGAAGAUAUAGAUAGAUAGAUAGAUAGAUAGAUAGAUAGAUAGAUAGAGUUAUCAGAGAGAAUGAGGGUGUGAGACAGAAGGUUUUAAGGGUGAAGGAGCAAUGUGACGGUUGGAUUCCUCCUAUAGCUCACCGGCUACAAUGGACCAAAUCAUACACUGAAACAUCACAGCUCAAGACACAAUGGUCCUUGUUUUUUCCUGUCAUUAACAACUGCACAGCCGACCACAGUCAAUCCCACAAAUGGCAAUAGCAGUGGUAAGUGCUUAUUAUUUAAAGUUAACAUAAUAACAGUAUUAAUAAUAAAAUGAGCAUUGCUGUUUUUUCUUCCCAAAUCCUUUCGGUUCUAAAUGAAGAGCAAGACAAAAAUGAGUAAUAAUUUUAUUUAGCAGUUUAAUAUUCACUGAAGCUAAAUUCUUACAAAUUAAAAUGUC